rnacentral:rRNA from 1 species
GAUGAACGCUGGCGGCGUGCCUAAUACAUGCAAGUCGAGCGAACAGACGAGGAGCUUGCUCCUCUGACGUUAGCGGCGGACGGGUGAGUAACACGUGGAUAACCUACCUAUAAGACUGGGAUAACUUCGGGAAACCGUAGCUAAUACCGGAUAAUAUAUUGAACCGCAUGGUUCAAUAGUGAAAGACGGUUUUGCUGUCACUUAUAGAUGGAUCCGCGCCGCAUUAGCUAGUUGGUAAGGUAACGGCUUACCAAGGCAACGAUGCGUAGCCGACCUGAGAGGGUGAUCGGCCACACUGGAACUGAGAAACGGUCCAGACUCCUACGGGAGGCAGCAGUAGGGAAUCUUCCGCAAUGGGCGAAAGCCUGACGGAGCAACGCCGCGUGAGUGAUGAAGGUCUUCGGAUCGUAAAACUCUGUUAUUAGGGAAGAACAAAUGUGUAAGUAACUAUGCACGUCUUGACGGUACCUAAUCAGAAAGCCACGGCUAACUACGUG